rnacentral:lncRNA from 1 species
UGGGGAUUCAUAUUGCUGGUGGCUCUCGUGUGUUGCUGCAUCAACACCAAACCUGAUCGGGACAACGAUGACGAUGCUAGCUGUGCCGGCUGCGACGGAGGACAUACAGCCUUUUAAUAUAGGUUUUAAUCAUUUUGGUUUUAAUUUUGGUUGAGUCAUGCUCAAGUAAUUUUGUAAAGAUUCUUACACAUCUUAUUCAUUAAAAC